AAAACAUGUCCUUUUGAUUAUGAUUUAAGGUCUGGCCUGCUCAAUGAGGUUUUAAAUAGCCGCGAUAACUUGAUCGUGCGAAGGUAGCAUAAUCAUUAGUUUUUUAAUUGAAAACUGGAAUGAAGGGUUGGACGAGAUUGGGGCUGUCUCAAGUUUAUUAAAUUGGAAUUUUAUUUCUAGGUUAAAAAGCCUAGAUUUCUCUCAAAGACGAGAAGACCCUAUAGAGUUUUAUAUUUUUAUUUAAUAAGUGUUUUUGGUAUUAAGGUUGCUUUUUAGUUUAAAAGUAUUUAGUUGGGGUGAUUGAAUAAAUGAUUAAACUUCUUUUUUUUUAUUACACUAAUUUGUGAUUUGAUGAUCCACUAUUUGUGAUUAAAAGAUUAAAUUACCUUAGGGAUAACAGCGUAAUUCUUUUUGAGAGUUCUUAUCGAAAAUAGAGUUUGCGACCUCGAUGUUGGAUUAAAGUUAAUUUUUGGCGUAGAAGUUAGAAUAUUUGGUCUGUUCGACCAUUAAAACUUUACAUGA
rnacentral:rRNA from 1 species